rnacentral:lncRNA from 1 species
AACACUAGUAGGGGAGUGGGAAGUGAGAUAAGGAAGGGAAGAAUGACUGUAAAGAGUGUCUUUUCUGGCAGAUUACUUCUGUGAGCAACUGGGUCUCUCAGUUCUUUGGGAGCACCCUGGGAAACAGUGUGGCUAUGACUUGGAGCUGCUCACCAGUUCCAGUCAUUCUGUGGUUGAGAGCUGCUCCCUAUGGAUGUUAAUUCUUCUCUAUUUUAGAUUUUCCACAGGUGUGGGCCCCAUUAGCUCUGGCCACCUGAGAAAGCCCUCAGGCAAAGAGUCGCAGGUGAAAGCCAGCAGUUAGAGGUUCACAGAAAUGAGUGCAGAAGCAUCUUCAGUUGGAGAGCCAUUGCCUCUUGCUGUGAAAUAUUUGGGAAUCUUCAGAAACCAUGAAGAAUAACCUGCUAAAGCUGAGCUGGGACUCUGCCUGGAUAUAACUUAUGGCCUAUUCUAUAUGGAAAGUUGGUUUUCUCACAGUUCCACUCCCUUUCCAGAUAUCAGCAAAUGGCCCUCCUAGCCCAGAAGUCUCCAGAGAGGCCACCAAGUUCUAUUGAACAUCAUGAAUCCUAUGCUCAAGUGAGAUCAGCUCAAGUGAGACCAGAUAUCUGAAGACCUUUUCAUUUUCGCCACCCUCAAAUGAAGGCAUGCAAGUCCUGUUUGUCUCUGCCACUCCUCUAGCUGAUAUGUGCUCCAGAUUUGAAAAUUAAUUUAAGAAGCCAAAUUGUUUCCUGCUUUUCAAAGUUAUACAUAUCGUUACAUAUGUUUAUAUUUAUGUGUACACACAAAUGUAAAGCAAUGAUGCCUCUAUUAAAAUGAUGUUCAGUUAAUAUUGUCUGUGAGAACUGUAAAUUAUCUAUCCUUUAUUUCUACUUUGCACUAGAUACACCUAAGAGUUUGUGACACAUGCCUUGUAAGUACCUCUCAUUUCAUCUGACGGGUUUCUAGGGAGAAGUAAGCCACAGACACCAAAUGUUCCCAUCCUUAAGCUAAAAAGUUAGCAAGAAUGGGACAUUAAACAUAUGCUUAAAGGGAAAUGGUUACAGAAAAGAGGAAAAAUAUAAUAUUUUAAAAAGGGUGUGAGAUUGAAGACAAAUUUUACCUACUGUAUAUUUGUGUAUGAUGCACUUAGCUGAAUGCUAUGUUCACGUAAAAUACAUUUCAGUAGGAACUUCAUCUUCAUUACAGCUAGCUCAUACUUACAUAUGCCUAACAGUCUGUGAAGCACUUUCAAG